rnacentral:rRNA from 1 species
UACGUAGGGGGCUAGCGUUGUCCGGAAUCAUUGGGCGUAAAGCGCGUGUAGGCGGCCCGGUAAGUCCGCUGUGAAAGUCCAGGGCUCAACCCUGGGAUGCCGGUGGAUACUGUCGGGCUCGAGUCCGGAAGAGGCGAGUGGAAUUCCUGGUGUAGCAGUGAAAUGCGUAGAUAUCGAGAGGAACACCAGUGGCGAAGGCGAGUCCCUGGACAACUCCUGACGCUGAGGCACGAAAGCGUGGGGAGCAAACAGG